CGGGUGUGACUGCGUACCUUUUGUAUAAUGGGUCAGCGACUUAUAUUCUGUAGCAAGGUUAACCGUAUAGGGGAGCCGAAGGGAAACCGAGUCUUAACUGGGCGUUAAGUUGCAGGGUAUAGACCCGAAACCCGGUGAUCUAGCCAUGGGCAGGUUGAAGGUUGGGUAACACUAACUGGAGGACCGAACCGACUAAUGUUGAAAAAUUAGCGGAUGACUUGUGGCUGGGGGUGAAAGGCCAAUCAAACCGGGAGAUAGCUGGUUCUCCCCGAAAGCUAUUUAGGUAGCGCCUCGUGAAUUCAUCUUCGGGGGUAGAGCACUGUUUCGGCUAGGGGGUCAUCCCGACUUACCAACCCGAUGCAAACUGCGAAUACCGAAGAAUGUUAUCACGGGAGACACACGGCGGGUGCUAACGUCCGUCGUGAAGAGGGAAACAACCCAGACCGCCAGCUAAGGUCCCAAAGUCAUGGUUAAGUGGGAAACGAUGUGGGAAGGCACAGACAGCCAGGAUGUUGGCUUAGAAGCAGCCAUCAUUUAAAGAAAGCGUAAUAGCUCACUGGUCGAGUCGGCCUGCGCGGAAGAUGUAACGGGGCUAAACCAUGCACCGAAGCUGCGGCAGCGACACUAUGUGUUGUUGGGUAGGGGAGCGUUCUGUAAGCCGUUGAAGGUGUCCUGUGAGGGAUGCUGGAGGUAUCAGAAGUGCGAAUGCUGACAUAAGUAACGAUAAUGCGGGUGAAAAACCCGCACGCCGGAAGACCAAGGGUUCCUGUCCAACGUUAAUCGGGGCAGGGUGAGUCGACCCCUAAGGCGAGGCCGAAAGGCGUAGUCGAUGGGAAACAGGUUAAUAUUCCUGUACUUGGUGUUACUGCGAAGGGGGGACGGAGAAGGCUAUGUUGGCCGGGCGACGGUUGUCCCGGUUUAAGCGUGUAGGUGUGUGUUCCAGGUAAAUCCGGUUCACUUUAACACUGAGGCGUGAUGACGAGGCACUACGGUGCUGAAGUGACAAAUGCCCUGCUUCCAGGAAAAGCCUCUAAGCAUCAGGUAACACGAAAUCGUACCCCAAACCGACACAGGUGGUCAGGUAGAGAAUACCAAGGCGCUUGAGAGAACUCGGGUGAAGGAACUAGGCAAAAUGGUGCCGUAACUUCGGGAGAAGGCACGCUGAUAUGUAGGUGAAGUGAUUUACUCAUGGAGCUGAAAUCAGUCGAAGAUACCAGCUGGCUGCAACUGUUUAUUAAAAACACAGCACUGUGCAAACACGAAAGUGGACGUAUACGGUGUGACGCCUGCCCGGUGCCGGAAGGUUAAUUGAUGGG
rnacentral:rRNA from 1 species